GACGGAUUUCAUCAAACCCCCUAAUUCACCAAGAACACAACGCAAGGUCGCUCACCCUACAACAAAAAUGCUCCGACCAGAUCUUGUUGAUUGAAUAUAGAAAAAAACAAAUGUCCAGGAAAUCAUCUAAAUUUGCGUUGAGGGCGGCCGCGGCUGGUGCUCUACCUCUUCGCUGUUCAGCGUCAGAGCAAAUUUUUUUAUCCGAAAAUCCAAAAUUGUUGAGGUAUAUAGCGUUAUCAUUUAAGAUUUGUAUAUUUAGAUUUUGUUUUUAACACUGAUUAUUGACAGUUGUGUCUAUGUUUGCUAUAUCUGUUCUUUAUUUUAAAAAAAUUAGGGAAAAUUUUACAAUUGGGAAAAGAUCUACCUGUUAACAUAUGUUUAUGAUUUGGCUAUAUGUUGAUUGAGCUUAAUUUUGAGGUGAAAAUGAAAUAGUCAUUGAUUUUAGCUUCUUGAAAACUAAGAAUUAUUUUCGAGUUUUUAGAUCUUUAUUAAGUAAACAAAUUUCUGAAUAGGGUUAUGAUAAUGGAAUGUAUAUGAAAUGGUAACUAAUUUAGCUUCUUUAAAGCUAAGAACUGAUAUGUUUUUAUUUGAUCAACAUAAGCCAAUAUUAAUUGGAUAUUAGGUUUAAUUGUUUUUUUGGCUGAUGAGCUCUGUUUAUGUUCCAACAGAAAGAAAGUGAUUUUCGAUAUUUAGCCGCACUUUUAUGGUUUUCAUUUGGUCCAAUAUUCGUACUUUUGCAGGAAGUGCUUUCAGUGUAUCCAUUUUUGUCUCCCACUUCCUAACUCCAGAACAAUCUAAUAGAGUUCUGGGUUUUCUUGCGGAUGAUCAAACAAAAUUAUUGUUGCACUAGUUGUUGGACCGCAUCAAGUAUCGUAAGUACCACAGAAAGGUGGGAGGCGGAUUGAGAGAGUAGGUACAAUUCAAUGAGCUGUAAGCGUCACGAAAUUUGGACGAAAAUACCAAAGCAUGAUCCGUUGAACUUUUACGGAAGGGGAUACUCUCAACUUUGGAUGUAGCAGAUUGUGGCAACCUUAGAUGAUUUCCUGGACAUUUUUAUUUAUGAUUCUUUUUUCUCACAAAAGAAACAUGUCUUUUCAUACAUUGAAAUUGUAAAAAUGUCUAUGAAAUCAUCUAAGGUAGCCUAGGCUAUUGAUGCUGCAUCCAAAGGGGUCACUAGCCCGUUCCGUUGCAGUUUCCCGGGUGAUGCUUAAUUGUUUUCGUCCAAACUUUGUGCCGCAACAGCUCAUUAGAUUGUUCUUGCUCUUUUUUUUGCCGGUAAUCCUCUUUAUGGUCCGUAUAAUUGAUGGAGGUCGCUUUCACAUCUUAUCCUACCGUUUUAUGCUUUGCUUGCAACAGAGAAAGAAAGAAUAAAAAUAUACUACAUUGUGAAAAUUACGUUAAUUCUAAAGCCCCGUGGCCUAAUGAUGUAGCCUCCAAGUCUUAUCUGACUCACAUGGUUCGAGUUUACCCACAGCGCACUCGGAGAAUAGCAACUGCGGGUUCGUUAUUAAAAAAAAAUUAUGUUAAUUCUAUAUAUAUAUAUAUAUAAAAAAAUCUCCCAACUUUUUGUGACACUUGUAUCAUUAAUGUUAAUAUAUGAAUUUAUUUAUUUAUUUUUAUUUUUUUUUGGAUAUUUAAGCACCAUUUAUUGUAAAUUUGA